AUUGAACGCUGGCGGCAGGCCUAACACAUGCAAGUCGAGCGGAAACGAAGAGGGUGCUUGCACCUCUGGCGUCGAGCGGCGGAACGGGUGAGUAAUGCUUGGGGAAUAUGCCUUAUGGUGGGGGACAACAGUUGGAAACGACUGCUAAUACCGCAUGAUGUCUACGGACCAAAGUGGGGGACCUUCGGGCCUCACGCCAUAAGAUUAGCCCAAGUGGGGAUUAGCUAGUUGGUGAGGUAAUGGCUCACCAAGGCGACGAUCCCUAGCUGGUUUGAGAGGAUGAUCAGCCACACUGGGACUGAGACACGGCCCAGACUCCUACGGGAGGCAGCAGUGGGGAAUAUUGCACAAUGGGCGCAAGCCUGAUGCAGCCAUGCCGCGUGUGUGAAGAAGGCCUUCGGGUUGUAAAGCACUUUCAGUAAGGAGGAAAGGUUAGGUGUUAAUAGCGCUUAGCUGUGACGUUACUUACAGAAGAAGCACCGGCUAACUCCGUGCCAGCAGCCGCGGUAAUACGGAGGGUGCGAGCGUUAAUCGGAAUUACUGGGCGUAAAGCGUACGCAGGCGGUUUGUUAAGCGAGAUGUGAAAGCCCCGGGCUCAACCUGGGAACUGCAUUUCGAACUGGCAAACUAGAGUGUGAUAGAGGGUGGUAGAAUUUCAGGUGUAGCGGUGAAAUGCGUAGAGAUCUGAAGGAAUACCGAUGGCGAAGGCAGCCACCUGGGUCAACACUGACGCUCAUGUACGAAAGCGUGGGGAGCAAACAGG
rnacentral:rRNA from 1 species